AAAUUUUUGCUAAUAUCGGAUAUAUAAAUACAUUAGACAGAAAGGAAAUUACAUAGAACUUUGAUAUUUUGAACCCAAACUCACCUCACAAACAAUAUCAUUAGACUGAAAGGAAAUUACACAUAAAUACUUUUAAUUGGCUAGUAUAUAUUUUUUUUGUUUUUAAUUUUUUUUUUUUGGCUAGUAUACUAUUCACCACAAAAAGCUUACUAAGAAUCUAAGUGUCUAUAGAACCUAAAAACAUAAGUUGUUCCCCUCCUAACCAAUUUGAGUGUAAUGCUCGUUUAGAUUAGAUAACACUAAAUUUUCCACUGAUCUUAGUAUUGU
rnacentral:lncRNA from 1 species